rnacentral:lncRNA from 10 species
CUGAGAUUACAGGCGUGAGCCACUGCGCCCGGCCACUGUUUCAGGAAAAAAAAAAAAAAAACAAAACCCAAAUAUUGUAUUUUUUUUAUAAAUCAAAAUUAAAAUAGGUAUUUCAUGUAUUCUGACAGCAGGAGGAUGCAUUAGCACAACAGGCCUUUGAAGAGGCUCGGAGAAGGACACGCGAAUUUGAAGAUAGAGACAGGUCUCAUCGGGAGGAAAUGGAGGCAAGAAGACAACAAGACCCUAGUCCUGGUUCCAAUUUAGGUGGUGGUGAUGACCUCAAACUUCGUUAAUUAAUAGCACAGCAGAUGUGUGCUGCCCAUCUUUACAUACACAUUGCUUCUAGUUGGCAGAAAUAAUUGAUUAAAAGACCAGAAACUGUGAUAACUGGAGGUACUACGGUCUAUUUCUCAACCUUAGGCAGUAAUAGACAUCACAAACUGCCAUGGUUUUGCACUAUGAUUAUAAUACCUGCAUUUCUAAU